rnacentral:lncRNA from 1 species
CCUCCCAAGUAGCUGGGAUUACAGGCAUGCUCCACCACGCCUGGCUAAUUUUGAAUUUUUAAUAGAGCCGGGGUUUCUCCAUGUUGGUCAGGCUGAUCUCGAACUCCUGACCUUGUGAUCUGCCCGCCUCAGCCUUCCAAAGUGCUGGGAUUACAGGCGUGAGCCACCGCGCCCGGCCUUCAUCUGCUUUUCUUCCUCCCCCGCCUUCUGCAUCUGGUCCCUGGGAGAGCUGGGGGAGGAUUGGUGGCUGGACUCGUGGAGUGAGUGGCCAAGGCCGAGACUUCUGUGCCCAACACAGUGCGCCUCCUGCUUUUGCCCAGCUCCUGCCACGCCCUGGCUCUGGCCUGGACUUUCUCCUAUCUCCUGUUCUUCCGAGCCCUCAGCCUCCUGGGCCUGCCCACUCCCACGCCCUUCACCAAUGCCGUCCAGCUGCUGCUGACGCUGAAGGUCAGACUCGGGGCUUGCCACUCCCCUCCAGCCUCCCUGUACUUGCUGCCCUGGGUACAGCAUUCCCCAUUCACAUGCAACUAGGGCAUCCAGGUCUGGCUCCUAAUCACCUGGGAAGAGGGGUGAAAACAAAAAAUACAAAAGAUUAGCUGGGCGUGGUGGCACAUACCUGUAAUCCCAGCUACUUCGGGAGGCUGAGGCAGGAGAAUUGCUUGAACCCAGGAGGCGGAGGUUGUGGUGAGCUGAGAUCGUACCAUUGCACUCCAGCCUGGGCAACAAGAGCAAAACUCCAUCUCAAAAAUAAAUAAACAAAUAGAAAUACUCAUUCUAGGCCAGCUGCGGUGGCUCAUGCCUGUAAUCCCAGCACUUUGGGAGGCUGACGCGGGUAGAUCACCUGAGGUUAGGAGUUUGAGACCAUCCUGGCCAACAUGGUAAAACUCCGUCUCUACUAAAAAUACAAAAAUGAGCCGGGUGUGGUGGCUCACACCUGUAAUCCCAGCUACUCAGGAGGCUGAGGCAGGAUAAUUGCUUGAACCUGGAAGGUGGAGGUUGCAGUGAGCCAAGAUCCCGCCAUUGCACUCCAGCCUGGGCCUUCCCGGGCAAGAUUCCAUCUCAAAAAAAAAAGAAAAGAAAAGAAAUAAAACUCGUUCUGGAUGCUGAAGGAGAAUUGAAGUGGAACAGGGCAAGAUGGGAUGGACUCAGAUGAUCCUCCUUUGUCCGAGUCCAGGUGACAAACUGUGGUGGCUUGAUACAGGCCGUUGGCUGGCUGUGGGUAGGUCUGAGUUGCAGCAGGAAAUGCGCAUUUAGGAUGACUGAAGGAGUGGCCACCAAUUGGGCAGGA